rnacentral:rRNA from 1 species
CGCCUGGGAAGUACGUACGCAAGUAUGAAACUUAAAGGAAUUGGCGGGGGAGCACCACAAGGGGUGAAGCCUGCGGUUCAAUUGGAGUCAACGCCAGNAAUCUUACCUGGGGAGACAGCAGAAUGAAGGUCAAGCUGAAGACUUUACCAGACACGCUGAGAGGUGGUGCAUGGCCGUCGCCAGCUCGUGCCGUGAGAUGUCCUGUUAAGUCAGGUAACGAGCGAGACCCCUGCGUCUAGUUGCUACCAUUACUCUCUGGAGCAGUGGAGCGAAUUAGACGGACCGCCACAGUUAAUGUGGAGGAAGG